UACGUAGGGUGCAAGCGUUGUUCGGAAUUACUGGGCGUAAAGGGCUCGUAGGUGGCCAACUAAGUCAGACGUGAAAUCCCUCGGCUUAACCGGGGAACUGCGUCUGAUACUGGAUGGCUUGAGUUCGGGAGAGGGAUGCGGAAUUCCAGGUGUAGCGGUGAAAUGCGUAGAUAUCUGGAGGAACACCGGUGGCGAAGGCGGCAUCCUGGACCGACACUGACGCUGAGGAGCGAGAGCCAGGGGAGCAAACGGG
rnacentral:rRNA from 1 species